rnacentral:rRNA from 1 species
GACGAACGCUGGCGGCGUGCUUAACACAUGCAAGUCGAACGGAAAGGCCCUGCUUGCAGGGUACUCGAGUGGCGAACGUGUGAGUAACACGUGGGUGAUCUGCCCUGCACUUCGGGAUAAGCCUGGGAAACUGGGUCUAAUACCGGAUAGGAGCCAUUUUUAGUGUGAUGGUUGGAAAGUUUUUUCGGUGUAGGAUGAGCUCGCGGCCUAUCAGCUUGUUGGUGGGGUAAUGGCCUACCAAGGCGGCGACGGGUAGCCGGCCUGAGAGGGUGGACGGCCACAUUGGGACUGAGAUACGGCCCAGACUCCUACGGGAGGCAGCAGUGGGGAAUAUUGCACAAUGGGCGCAAGCCUGAUGCAGCGACGCCGCGUGGGGGAUGACGGCCUUCGGGUUGUAAACUCCUUUCGCUAGGGACGAAGCUUUUUGUGACGGUACCUAGAUAAGAAGCACCGGCUAACUAUGUG